rnacentral:tRNA from 1 species
AGUGAGGUGCCUGAAAUAAAGGAUAAUUUUGAUAGAAUUGAACAUGCAGCCCCUGCCCUCGCUU